rnacentral:lncRNA from 1 species
UGGAAAAUGCAAAACCAACCAGCUGUUGGUCAAUGCUAAUUUAAAAUCCUCCAGUUCAGAGGACUCAAGAGAUUGUGUAAAUUCAUUAUAAGAAGCUUUGCAGAGUCAUGAUCUCUGGAAACAUCUAUCGGCACUGUCAGAAAGACACACACACACACACAGAAGACACCACUAAGAGCCACUUUCAAGCCCAGCAGCCCUCUUACAAGGACACAAGGCAAAGAUAUAUCACAGCUCCCUACAGAGUAUUGCACUUUGCUGCAUGGACCUGGCUUGUGUAGAAUUUGGGAGAAUUUCACACUCCUUAUGAGCAACCUGGAUGAAGACAGAGGCCUCAUUUCCAGAAGAGCUCUCUGUGGAGUCACGUAUCUCAGAGCCAGUCUGUUCAGACAAGACACCAGUACAAGCUCCAGGCAAGAAAAGCUGCCAGCACUGCCUGCAAGUCAAACUUCAUGGCUGGCAGCACAGCAUGAGUAGGAGCUCCUGCACUUGUCUCUUGGCUGUGUAGCAGAGCCUGACCAUAUUGCCUGACCAUAUUG